UACGGAGGGUGCGAGCGUUGUCCGGAUUUAUUGGGUUUAAAGGGUGCGUAGGUGGGUUCUUAAGUCUGGUUUGAAAGUCGGCGGCUUAACCGUUGGAUGUGGCUGGAAACUGGGGAUCUUGAAUGCGAUAGCGGUAGCUGGAAUGGGUCAUGUAGCGGUGAAAUGCAUAGAUAUGACCCGGAACUCCGAUUGCGAAGGCAGGCUACUGGGUCGUGAUUGACACUGAGGCACGAGAGCAGGGGUAGCGAACAGG
rnacentral:rRNA from 1 species